UACGUAGGGUGCGAGCGUUGUCCGGAAUUACUGGGCGUAAAGGGCUCGUAGGCGGCCAACUAAGUCCGACGUGAAAUCCCAAAGCUUAACUUUGGAACUGCGUCGGAUACUGGAUGGCUUGAAUUCGGGAGAGGGAUGCAGAAUUCCAGGUGUAGCGGUGAAAUGCGUAGAUAUCAGGAGGAACACCGGUGGCGAAGGCGGUUCUCUGGGAAUGACCUGACGCUGAGGAGCGAAAGUGUGGGGAGCGAACAGG
rnacentral:rRNA from 1 species